GUUAAGCGACUAAGCGUACACGGUGGAUGCCCUGGCAGUCAGAGGCGAUGAAGGACGUGCUAAUCUGCGAAAAGCGCCGGCGAGGUGAUAUGAACCCUUGACCCGGCGAUGUCCGAAUGGGGAAACCCAGUGCAAUCCGUUGCACUAUCGUUAACUGAAUACAUAGGUUAACGAGGCGAACCGGGGGAACUGAAACAUCUAAGUACCCCGAGGAAAAGAAAUCAACCGAGAUUCCCCCAGUAGCGGCGAGCGAACGGGGAGCAGCCCGGAGUCUGAAUCAGCUUGUGUGUUAGUGGAACGGUCUGGAAAGUCCGACGGUACAGGGUGAUAGUCCCGUACACGAAAGCACACUUGCUGUGAACUCGAAGAGUAGGGCGGGACACGUGGUAUCCUGUCUGAAUAUGGGGGGACCAUCCUCCAAGGCUAAAUACUCCUGACUGACCGAUAGUGAACCAGUACCGUGAGGGAAAGGCGAAAAGAACCCCGGCGAGGGGAGUGAAAAAGAACCUGAAACCGU
rnacentral:rRNA from 2 species